rnacentral:lncRNA from 1 species
CUGUGAGAGGCCUUCAUGCUUUUGAAUGAGUUCUGUUACAACAGAUCACUGAUAAUUUAGUGGACUGGUUACCACCAGAAUCCUUGGGAUUAUCUGACCUUCUCCAAGUAGCUCUCCAUUUCAGUAUUGCUAUGUUUACCAUCUGGUUAUUGUAUCACAAUCUCAAUCCAGCCAGAACAAGAAGAACUGAGAUGGUUAAAGGAAAGACUCCUAAAUGUUGGGUCAUGAGAGAUUAAAUUGGGCAUCUUACAACUUGUUCCUCCUGGAGCUGACUACACUGACUUUCUCAGUCUGAAGUCCCCUCUCUACUGCCGCAUUCCAAGGCUGCUGUGAGCCCAUUAUCACAGUGAGUAGUAGCAUCCAAAGGUUAGGUAAUGCCCCUUUUCCUAGCCGAAAGACUGAAGACCGAAUUCUCCUAAGAUUGUUGGGCUUACCUUAAAUUCUUCUAUUAAAAUGGAAAAUGCCCAAACCCC